AUGAACCUCUUCCAAUUCCUGGGAGACCUCUCCCACCUCCUAGCUAUCAUCUUGUUACUGCUCAAAAUCUGGAAGUCCAGUUUGUGUGUGGGCAUUUCAGGGUAGAGCCAAGUCCUGUUUGCUGUGGUGUUCACUGCUAGAUAUCUAGACCUGUUCACCAACUACAUUUCACUUUAAAACACCUGCAUGAAGGUGUUCUACAUAGCUUGUUCCUUUACCACGGUGUGGAUGAUCUAUAGCAAGUUCAAAGCUACUUAUGAUGGCCACCACGACACAUUCUGGGUGGAGUUCCUCGUUCCUACUGCUAUUUUGGUGUUCCUGGUCAACCAUGACUUCACCCCUCCGGAGAUCCUCUGGACCUUCUCCAUCUACCUGGAUUCAGUGGCUAUCUUGCCACAAUUGUUCAUGGAAAGCAGGACGGGUGAAGCGGAGACUAUCAGCAGCCAUUACCUGUUUACACUGGGCAUCUACCGUACACUCUAUCUCUUCAAUUGGAUUUGGCGCUACCACUUUGAGGGCUUCUUUGACCUCAUCGCCAUCGUUGCUGGCCUGGUCCAGGCAGUCCUCUACUGCGAUUUCUUCUACCUCUAUAUCACCAAAGUCCUAAAAGGGAAGAAGCUGAGCUUACCCUGGCCUCACCAGCCUUCUCCGAGGCAGGGCAGGAGGCAGAAGAAGGCUGCUGGAGACCACGAGCUUUCCCAUCCAGAGUUGACUUCGUAA